rnacentral:rRNA from 1 species
UGGGGAAUAUUGCACAAUGGGCGCAAGCCUGAUGCAGCCAUGCCGCGUGUGUGAAGAAGGCCUUCGGGUUGUAAAGCACUUUCAGCGGGGAGGAAGGCGAUAAGGUUAAUAACCUUGUCGAUUGACGUUACCCGCAGAAGAAGCACCGGCUAACUCCGUGCCAGCAGCCGCGGUAAUACGGAGGGUGCAAGCGUUAAUCGGAAUUACUGGGCGUAAAGCGCACGCAGGCGGUCUGUCAAGUCGGAUGUGAAAUCCCCGGGCUCAACCUGGGAACUGCAUUCGAAACUGGCAGGCUAGAGACUUGUAGAGGGGGGUGUAAUUCCAGGUGUAGCGGUGAAAUGCGUAGAGAUCUGGACGAAUACCGGUGGCGAGGACGGACCCCUAGACAAAGACUGACGCUCAGGUGCGAAAGCGUGGGGAGCAAACAGG